rnacentral:rRNA from 1 species
UACAGAGGGUGCGAGCGUUAAUCGGAAUUACUGGGCGUAAAGCGCGCGUAGGCGGCUUUGCAAGUCGAGUGUGAAAUCCCCCAGGCUUAACCUGGGAACUGCAUUCGAGACUGCAUAGCUAGAGUAUGGGAGAGGGAAGUGGAAUUUCAGGUGUAGCGGUGAAAUGCGCAGAUAUCGGGAGGAACACCGGUGGCGAAGGCGGUUCUCUGGGCCUGUACUGACGCUGAGGAGCGAAAGCGUGGGGAGCGAACAGG